rnacentral:rRNA from 1 species
GACGGAGGGUGCUAGCAUUGUUCGGAAUUACUGGGCGUAAAGCGCACGUAGGCGGCUUUGUAAGUUAGAGGUGAAAGCCCGGGGCUCAACUCCGGAACUGCCUUUAAGACUGCAUCGCUUGAAUCCAGGAGAGGUGAGUGGAAUUCCGAGUGUAGAGGUGAAAUUCGUAGAUAUCGUAAGGAAGACCAGUGGCGAAGGCGGGUCUCUGGACAGUUCCUGACGCUGAGGCACGAAGGCCAGGGGAGCAAACGGG